rnacentral:rRNA from 1 species
UGGGGAAUAUUGGACAAUGGGGGCAACCCUGUUCCAGCAAUGCCGCGUGUGUGAAGAAGGCCUGCGGGUUGUAAAGCACUUUCAGUAGAGAAGAAAAGCUCAUGGUUAAUACCCGUGAGUCUUGACGUAACCUACAGAAGAAGCACCGGCAAACUCCGUGCCAGCAGCCGCGGUAAUAGGGAGGGUGCGAGCGUUAAUCGGAAUUACUGGGCGUAAAGCGCGCGCAGGCGGUUUUGUAAGUCGGAUGUGAAAGCCCAGGGCUUAACCUUUGAAUUGCAUUCGAUACUGCAGAACUAGAGUAUGGUAGAGGGAGGUGGAAUUUCCGGUGUAGCGGUGAAAUGCGUAGAUAUCGGAAGGAACACCAGUGGCGAAGGCGACUUCCUGGGCCAAUACUGACGCUGAGGUGCGAAAGCGUGGGGAGCAAACAGGAUUAGAUACCCGCGUAGUCC